AACAGACAAGGAGUAUUCCAAAUUUAAACAGGAGAGUUCACUACUCCUGGCUGGGCAGAUCAGGGAGGACUCCUUCGAAGAGGCAGAAAUGGACUCUCUCGUCCUGCCUGCUGCAGAAACCUCAAGUUGGUUAUAGAGCGUCCCUGCUGAGUGCAGGUAGCGCUGGACUCCUCCAGGAACCGGUUGUUCAUCUUCUGACACUUGCACACCUCUCUGGGGUGAAAAGGAGCAGAAUGGAUGGUGGCUUUGCUCAACUCUGCUAGAAUCCAGGGGCUCUGGGAAGCCAGCCAGGUGAGCUCACUCUAGCCAGGCUAAGAGGAGGUUGAGGAAACCAAAUCUGCUGCCCAUGGUGCUGCUGACAAUUGGGCCAGAAGUUAAGAAUUUUCACCGAGUUCUCAGAGUUGAACCAGCUCAGAAGACAGAGGGGAACUUGUGAAGAAAUAUUUCCUGACCUUCAACUCAGCCACUUGCAUCCCAGGACUUUCCCUGUUGCUUGCCAUCUUGAGAACCUUCUUGCUUUGAAUGAAAUAAUUUGAUCAUGGAUAUGAGCCCUUACUCCCAAAUUUGUAAAUAUUGGAAAUCCCUAAUUAUAGGGAAACAAGUAUAAGUUAAUUUAUAGUAUUUUUAUAGCAAAGUCUUAAUUGCCCACGAAAUAUGCAUUUUUCCCUUUUUGCUUUGAAUGAAAUAAUUUGAUCAUGGAUAUAAGCCCUUACUCUCAGAUUUGUCAAUACUGGAAAUCCCUAAUUAUAGCAAAAAAAAAGUAUAAGUUAAUUUAUAGUAUUUUUGUAGCAAAGUCUUAAUUGACCACCAAAUAUCCAUUUUCCCUUCUUCCUUACUAACAGAAUCCUAUUUGAGUAUGGGAGUGGCAGUGGGCUCAAGCAAAACAAAUGCCAUUUCCCACCCUCAUCUGCAAAUAGGGCAGGUGACAUGGCCAACUUUGGACCAGUGAGAUGUGAGUAGAAUUUCUUGGUUAGGCUUGAGGAAAGUUCCUA
rnacentral:lncRNA from 10 species